GACGAACGUUGGCGGCGUGCUUAAUACAUGCAAGUCAACUGAAGCCGUGGUAGCAAUAUCGUUGUGGAGGUGGCGCAUGGGUGAGUAACACGUAGGUAAUCUGACUUUAGGUCUGGCUUAACUCUGGGAAACCGGGGCUAAUAGCAGUUGAUGCAGCGGCUCGACAUUGAGACGGUUGUUAAAGCUAUGGUGCCUGAAGAUGAGCCUGCGUCUGCUUAGCUAGUUGGCGGGGUAGCGGCCCACCAAUGCAACGAUCAGUCGCUGGUCUGAGAGGAUGAUCAGACACACUGGAACGGAGACACGGUCCAGACUCCUACGGGAUGCAGCAGUAAGGAAAAAUGCUCAAUGGGAGAUAUCCUGAUGCAGCAACGCCGCGUAAGGGACUAGGGUUGUUGGCUUGUAAACCUCUGUAGGAAGAGAAAAAAAUCCCAAUCUUGGGGACAUGACGGUAUCUCAAGAGUAAGCCCCGGCUAACUACGUG
rnacentral:rRNA from 1 species